GCAGUCCCUCUGAGCCCGCCCCCUCCCCACUUCCUGCUCAAGGUCACGGCUGCUGCUCAGGGUCAGGGAGAGUCGAACCGGAACCGGGUCUCGUAGUCCCCGCCCGAGAUGGGCUGUCUCCGUAGGGCCAGCUCCUUCGGCCCAGCCUCCCCAGCCCACUGCAGCUCGAGGCUCCAUUAUUGGCCUCAGGAGCCCCGUAGCCAUUUGGGAUCUCUAAGCCCCUCUCCUCGCCGUCCUCCUCCUCCUCCUCGACUGCGGGCACCUGCCUCUCCCAGGGAUGCCCAGAGAGGUUCCCGCCAGAAUGCGCCUGACCUGACGUCAGUCCUCAGUACAUACUUACUGAGUGAGGGAUGGAAUACCGCAGUAGGCGGGAAGCAAAGAGAAGGUCUGCUGGCACUUGGAUUGCUCCCGCCCUCUGUUCUGGUGAUGUCUUUGUCCUCACGAAGCUGUCAAAGCUCUGCUGUUGCCAUCAGAGCAGAUAGAACACAGCCAGAGCCGCCAUAACACCGCAGGGCCUGGGCAGCUCCCGGGCUCUGCUUUCUCUUCACACCCCUCCCAACAUAAACCGCUCCCAACCCUGCCCUUCCCAUCCUCCCGCGGCACCCCCGCCCGCGCCGCCCAUCCUGUCACUCUCGGGAGCAGUUUGCAUUGUUCCUGACAAUUCGGCAGACCUUGGUGAAGCUCUCCACUGAGACACCUGCUUUCCUGCUUGUAAGAGAGUGAAGGCUUCUAACACUUCUGUGCAAUUCCUGCCACUCAGGUCUUGGCGACCUUCAUCUAAUCUGAUUUCGUAGACAUACCAAGCUUAAAUGUAUUUUGAAUUUACUUACAUCAACAUAUUUCACACUAAAGUCCACUUAAUUUUAGCUAUUGCAUAAAAAUGCUUUUAAUACAGAAGACAUUAACUCAUUAGAUGGGGCCAAAAAAUGAAACAUGGAUAAAGUUAAAUAUCAUACAAUUCACAUAAUAUCUUACAUUUUAAUUUAAAAAACCCCCAAAACCCAAAAAAGCCGGUGAAGGCCAACUCCUCCAGGAAGCUGAUUAAGUGAACUAUAAUUGUUUAUUCCCCAUGCAAUGAACAAAAUAAAAACAAUUUUUAAAAGUGAGUCCAAUGAAACUUUUAAAUACUACAGAAUGGGGAGGGUGGAGGAGGCCUUCUCAUCUCUAAUUUCACACUGCCAGAGAGGGGGCAUCUUACGGUUUUCAGGACCAUACCUGGCAUAGAGAAGAAACUAAGUCACAAAGAUAACGAUCUCAGAUUCUCAUCAGAUCGAAGGACCUAGUGAACAUCAUGGGGCCUUCCUCUUUUCACAUUCUUCCAUCCCCUAACUUGGCUGAAAGUGAACGUGAUUUCUCUUCUUUCUCAGAGUCAAAGGGAGUAAUAAUUUUAAACACCGGAUUUUAUCACUGUA